rnacentral:rRNA from 1 species
AAUUUUUCACAAUGGGGGAAACCCUCAUUCAGCCAUGCCGCGUGUGUGAAGAAGGUCUUGGGAUUGUAACGUUCUUUGAUUUGAGCGGCAGGGCUUUAGGUUUAUACCCUGAAGUUUUGACGUUAUCAACAGAAUAUGCACAGGUUAACUCCGUCCCUGCAGCCGCGGAAAUACAGAGGGUGCAAGCGUUAAUCGGAAUUACUGGGCGUAAAGCGCGCGUAGGUGGUUCAGUAAGAUGAGUGUGAAAUCACCGGGCUUAACCUGGAAACUGCUUUCAUAACUGCUGAGCUAGAGUACGGUAGAGGGUAGUGGAAUUUCCUGUAUAGCGGUGAAAUGCGUAGAUAUAGGAAGGAACACAAGUGGAGAAGGCGACAACCUGUACUGAUACUGACACUGAGGUGCGAAAGCGUGGGGAGCAA